rnacentral:rRNA from 1 species
AGUGAACGCUGGCGGUAGGCCUAACACAUGCAAGUCGAACGGCAGCACAGUAAGAGCUUGCUCUUACGGGUGGCGAGUGGCGGACGGGUGAGGAAUACAUCGGAAUCUACUUUUUCGUGGGGGAUAACGUAGGGAAACUUACGCUAAUACCGCAUACGACCUACGUGUGAAAGCAGGGGAUCUUCGGACCUUGUGCGAUUGUAUGAGCCGAUGUCGGAUUAGCUAGUUGGCGGGGUAGAGGCCCACCAAGGCGACGAUCCGUAGCUGGUCUGAGAGGAUGAUCAGCCACACGGGAACUGAGACACGGUCCGCACUCCUACGGGAAGCAGCGGUGGGGAAUAUUGGGCAAUGGGCGCAAGCCUGAUCCAGCCACACCGCGUGGGUGAAGAAGGCCUUCUGGUUGUAAAGCCCUUUUGUUGGGAGAGAAAAGCAGCAGGUUAAUACCCCGCUGUUCUGACGGUACCCAAAGAAUAAGCACCGGCUAACUUCGUG